rnacentral:rRNA from 1 species
AGUGAACGCUGGCGGUAGGCCUAACACAUGCAAGUCGAACGGCAGCACAGUAAGAGCUUGCUCUUACGGGUGGCGAGUGGCGGACGGGUGAGGAAUACAUCGGAAUCUACUUUUUCGUGGGGGAUAACGUAGGGAAGCUUACGCUAAUACCGCAUACGACCUACGGGUGGAAGCAGGGGAUCUUCGGACCUUGCGCGAUUGAAUGAGCCGAUGUCGGAUUAGCUAGUUGGCGGGGUAAAGGCCCACCAAGGCGACGAUCCGUAGCUGGUCUGAGAGGAUGAUCAGCCACACUGGAACUGAGACACGGUCCAGACUCCUACGGGAGGCAGCAGUGGGGAAUAUUGGACAAAGGGCGCAAGCCUGAUCCAGCCAUACCGCGUGGGUGAAGAAGGCCUUCGGGUUGUAAAGCCCUUUUGUUGGGAAAGAAAAGCAGCAGGUUAAUACCCCGCUGUUCUGACGGUACCCAAAGAAUAAGCACCGGCUAACUUCGUG